UGUUCCCUGCUGUGCACGACAGGGCUCAUAUUUCCGGACCGAUAGCUUCCUAAGGUUGCGGCCCUAGCGUCACUGUUGUGAUCGUCCCACGCUGCGAGCGUGACUGGACGAACCUGAGGUGACCGGUAAGCGACCACCCUGUUUAGCGGGGUUCGGGAGCGAGUCCACCGGCACGAGCGGGGAACAC
rnacentral:other from 1 species